rnacentral:lncRNA from 1 species
CAUUUUCUUAUAAGCCGGUGAAAAUUAUCCGGUGAAACAAUGGCGACUCCGGCAUGGAGUCAUGCCAGGGGUCAAUGGGUAGUAGCCAUUUUGGCGUUACUUGUUGGCUCGGCUAUGGCUACCGAACCUUACUAUUAUAGCUCUCCUCCUCCACCGUAUGAGUAUAAAUCUCCACCGCCUCCCGUUGAAUCUCCUCCACCUCCUUAUGAAUACAAAUCUCCUCCCCCUCCGGUUAAGUCUCCACCACCACCGUAUUACUAUCAUUCACCGCCGCCGCCGGUGAAAUCCCCUCCCCCUCCUUAUGUUUACCACUCUCCUCCUCCUCCGGUGAAGUCUCCUCCACCUCCUUAUGUAUACCACUCUCCUCCUCCUCCGGUAAAGUCUCCUCCACCGCCAUAUUACUACCACUCUCCUCCUCCUCCGGUGAAGUCUCCUCCACCACCAUAUUAUUAUCACUCUCCACCACCACCAGUGAAAUCUCCUCCUCCUCCUUACUAUUAUCAUUCUCCACCUCCUCCGGUCAAGUCUCCACCACCGCCAUAUUACUACCACUCUCCACCUCCUCCGGUAAAGUCUCCACCACCACCUUACUACUACCAUUCUCCACCUCCUCCGGUAAAGG